rnacentral:lncRNA from 1 species
CAGCAUUAGGGAACCGGAGCCUGAGAGUGGCAAUGCUGUGGAGAAACCAGCAAGGGCAUUAACUUCCCCUGGGGAAAAUGUGUACAAUCGUAUCAACAAAUCCAUGGAGAUAUGACAAUCACCAGAGAUGCGGUGGGAAUAUUAUGUUGCAUCUGCUUCUGACUGCUUCCCAAGCCUUGAUUAUGACACAGAGGAGAAGACAACUUAGCCAUAGUGCCUGGCAAGGCACUGCGUCAGGUCCUGAAGGUACAAGAGUGAACAAGACUGAUAUAUUCCUUCUCCUCAUGAGAAGCAGAUGUGAAACAAAGAAUCCUGGAGGUCAGAAGUCCAAAAUCAAGAAGUUGGCCAGGUUGUGCUCCCCACGAAGGCUCAAGAACACCAGUCAUUGGACUUAAAGCCCCCCCCCAAAUCCAGGAUGAUCUCAUCUCACGAUCCUUAACUUAAUGACAUCUGCAAAGAUCUUAUUUCCAAAUAAGGUCACAUUCACAGACAUCAGAGCUCCUGGUUCUCGUGCCUUUGGACUCCAGACUAAUACCAGUGGCCCUCCCAGUUCUCAGUCCUUCAGCAUUGGACUGAACGAUACCACCAGCUUUCCUGGUUCUCCAGCUUGCAGAUGGCAGACUGUGGGACUUUGUGGCCUCCACAACCAGCCCCCGGUACACUGUUGUAUAUUCUUCGUUGUGGGUCCUUCUAGUUGUGGCAUGUGGGACGCUGCCUCAGCGUGGUUUGAUGAGCAGUGCCAUAUCCGCGCCCAGGAUUCGAACCAACGAAACACUGGGCCACCUGCAGCAGAGCGCUGGAACUUAACCGCUCGGCCACGGGGCCAGCCCCUCAACAAUUUUUAAUAAAUGAAUAUCUUACAUUGGCUUUAUAACCA